UCCAGGCAAAUCCCUGUCGAGGGACACGGU
rnacentral:piRNA from 1 species